rnacentral:rRNA from 1 species
GAUAUGGCUCAGAACGAACGCUGGCGGCGUGCUUAACACAUGCAAGUCGAACGCGAAAGGGACUUCGGUCCUGAGUAAAGUGGCGCACGGGUGAGUAACGCGUAGAUAACCUGUCUUUAUGUCUGGAAUAAUACGCCGAAAGGGGUACUAAUACCGGAUAUUUUUGCAUUGCAUAAGCAGUGUAAGCAAAGGUGGCCUCUGACAUAAGCUACUGCAUAAAGAGGGGUCUGCGUACCAUUAGCUAGUAGGUGGGGUAAAGGCCUACCUAGGCUACGAUGGUUAGCGGGUCUGAGAGGAUGAUCCGCCACACUGGCACUGGAACACGGGCCAGACUCCUACGGGAGGCAGCAGUGAGGAAUAUUGCGCAAUGGGGGCAACCCUGACGCAGCGACGCCGCGUGAAGUGAGGAAGGCCUUCGGGUCGUAAAGCUCUGUCAAAGGGAAAGAAGUGCAUGGUGGUUAAUACCUGCCAUGUUUGACGGUACCCUUAAAGGAAGCACCGGCUAACUCCGUGCCAGCCGCCGC